rnacentral:lncRNA from 1 species
GAGUGGCACCUGCUGCUGGCCCUGGUUUCCUGAUGGGUCAAAUGCAGGCUCUUCUCCAGGAAAGGUGCUCAGAGGGAUGGGCCCUCAGGAUGAAGCGUGGAAAGGGAGAAUUACCCCUGAUGCGGACCUGAGUUUUACUCUUUCUGAGAGGUCAAUGUCAUCUCAGAUAUACAGAAAAAGGAGAAUACAAAGCAGGUCCUUCUUGAUCAUCUUUGUAACCAGAUCAAAAAGACGGUGUGCUAGUGACUUUAUUUUCAUGAUAUUUGGAGGGUCCAUAAUUAUCCAAUUUGGAGUUUUCAGAAGAACAUUUUAAAGACUGACUACUUUCCAACAAGAGUAAAAGAUCUCAAGAAUUCAAAAUAAAUAACCCAUUGAAAAUCA